rnacentral:rRNA from 1 species
UACGGGGGGGGUAAGCGUUGUUCGGAAUUACUGGGCGUAAAGGGCUCGUAGGCGGCCAACUAAGUCGGACGUGAAAUCCCUCAGCUUAACUGGGGAACUGCGUCCGAUACUGGAUGGCUUGGAUUUGGGAGAGGGAUGCGGAAUUCCAGGUGUAGCGGUGAAAUGCGUAGAUAUCUGGAGGAACACCGGUGGCGAAGGCAGGUCUCUGGGCAUUAACUGACGCUGAGGAGCGAAAGCAUGGGGAGCGAACAGG